rnacentral:lncRNA from 1 species
UCUCAUAUCGGUUAUUCGUUUAAAAAUUUUUUGGAUAUUUAUAUAAGAUUAAGAAACUCAAAUAAUACUUUCCGACUAAUCUUUUUGGAUGAGAUCUUGAGUUAUUACAGUUAUGAUUGGAUUGGAAGUUUAUUAGCUCUAGCAGAGCCAACGAGAGAAAAAUUUAAAAAAAGACUGGAUGCUGAAAAGUUGAUAAAAAAUAUAAAUCUUGAUC